AAACCGUUGAAAGGGAAGCGAAUGGAGUUAGCAAUUCGCCCUGCCAGAUUCAGUUGUUCGUGCUUCGCGACGUGCGCGCUCUCGAUCCGCAUGGACGUGACGUGCACGGGUGCGACGUGCGGACGGCGCACUUCUGGCGGGCGAGCGUCAGCGUCGGUCGCCGACGGGCGAUAAGGUCGCGAGGAAGGUAGACGUGCCUUCGGGCGCGUUGUUAAGACUCGCGUUCGCAUGGCUCGACGGCGACCGUGGCUCCUUCACACGGAGGCGACGCGUGCCUGGCUGGUGACUCGUGCGAUCGGUCCGGCAUGUCGACCGUGGCGGACGGCACGCCUGUGCGCUCAAACUGCUGCCGGUCGCUCGCACGGUGUUCGCACACUACGCGUCGAAGACGCUGACGACCAUACGGCUCCAUCCGACCCGUCUUGAAACACGGACCAAGGAGUCUAACAUGUGCGCAAGUCUCCGGGUGAUCGAAACCCGUGGGCGCAAUGAAAGUAAAGGUCGUCCUAGACGAUUGAGGUGAGAAGCGCGCUUCGUCUCGACGCGCGCCGCAUCAUCGACCGACCUAUUCUGCUCUCAGAAAGGUUUGAGUAAGAGCGUAUCUGUUGGGACCCGAAAGAUGGUGAACUAUGCCUGAAUAGGGUGAAGCCAGCGGAAACACUGGUGGAAGCUCGUAGCGAUUCUGACGUGCAAAUCGAUCGUCGAAUUUGGGUAUAGCGGCGAAAGACUAAUCGAACCAUCUAGUAGCUGGUUCCCUCCGAAG
rnacentral:rRNA from 2 species